UGUUGCUGAAAGGAGGAUGAAGAGCUCCGUAGGAACCUGCAUUGUUCUGCUAGGAGGUCGCUUAAUGACAGACUUGUAGCACUCCACCUGCACGCCUGGGACAAUACUAAGGCUGGGAGAUCAGCUCUUCGAGGGACCAGGGAAACUCAGUUCAGUAGAUGGCACUCUUUCCUCAGAGUCAGUUUUACAAUGAUGGCCUGAAAAGAUGUUUUAAAAUGCUGUGUCACAGGAGGUCCUGCCUUUCAGGUGUCCAAGGAUGGUGGACUAUUAAGUUCCCACCCUAGUCUGUGCCACACAGGACUGUUGUAGUUGGUUUCCACCCUCCACCUGUAAUCAAAAUGAGUAGGAGUGAGCUGCCAUUUUCCAAGCUACAAUUUGCUUAUCUACACAAGAAGUUACUUCUGUCAUUUCAAAACAUGUGAUAUUCACGAAUAUCAAGUAACACUGGAUGAAAAGAGAAAGGUAUUAUGAAAACUCAGUCUAUCUUGCUUGCUCUGUGGAUAUAUUCUUGGGGCCAAACCAUAUAAGAAAUCAAAUUCCAUGGUGUCCUGGAGGUUCUUCAGCACUUGUUCUCAAUCAGAAUUUUAGAGAUGACAUGUAUCAUU